GUUUCGUUGGCCUAGUGGUUAGAGUGUUCGCCUCGGGUGCGGGAGGUCGUGGGUUCAAAACACGACUGAGUCA